rnacentral:rRNA from 1 species
GACGAACGCUGGCGGCGUGCUUAACACAUGCAAGUCGAACGGUAAGGCCCUUCGGGGUACACGAGUGGCGAACGGGUGAGUAACACGUGGGUGAUCUGCCCUGCACUUCGGGAUAAGCCUGGGAAACUGGGUCUAAUACCGGAUAGGACUCCGGACUACAAGGUCUGGGGUGGAAAGCUUUUGCGGUGUGGGAUGGGCCCGCGGCCUAUCAGCUUGUUGGUGGGGUGAUGGCCUACCAAGGCGACGACGGGUAGCCGGCCUGAGAGGGUGACCGGCCACACUGGGACUGAGAUACGGCCCAGACUCCUACGGGAGGCAGCAGUGGGGAAUAUUGCACAAUGGGCGCAAGCCUGAUGCGGCGACGCCGCGUGAGGGAUGACGGCCUUCGGGUUGUAAACCUCUUUCAGCAUCGACGAAGCGAAAGUGACGGUAGGUGCAGAAGAAGGACCGGCCAACUACGUGCCAGCCGCCGCCGUAA